rnacentral:rRNA from 1 species
AGCGAACGCUGGCGGCAGGCUUAACACAUGCAAGUCGAACGCCCCGCAAGGGGAGUGGCAGACGGGUGAGUAACACGUGGGAACGUACCCUUUGGUUCGGAAUAACUUGGGGAAACUCAAGCUAAUACCGGAUAAGCCCUUAUGGGAAAAGGUUUACUGCCGAAGGAUCGGCCCGCGUCUGAUUAGCUAGUUGGUGAGGUAAUGGCUCACUAAGGCGACGAUCAGUAGCUGGUCUGAGAGGAUGAUCAGCCACACUGGGACUGAGACACGGCCCAGACUCCUACGGGAGGCAGCAGUGGGGAAUAUUGGACAAUGGGGGCAACCCUGAUCCAGCCAUGCCGCGUGAGUGAUGAAGGCCUUAGGGUUGUAAAGCUCUUUUACCCGGGACGAUAAUGACUGUACCGGGAGAAUAAGCCCCGGCUAACUUCGUGCCAGCCGCCGCGGUAA